CCUGAUGCUACUCGUUAUGCCAAAGAAGUACAAGAUCACAUCGCGUAUGGUAUUCAAGAAAAGUUGUUGGGUUUAUAGCAGAAACCAUUCAGGGAGUUGGAGGAGCAGUUGAACUAGCCCCAGGAUACUUGAAACAGGUUUAUGACAUCGUACGCAAGGCUGGUGGUGUCUGCAUUGCAGAUGAAGUACAAACAGGAUUUGGUCGCACAGGAAGCCAUUAUUGGGGUUUCGAGACUCAAGGUGUCAUUCCUGACAUAGUUACCAUGGCAAAGGGUAUUGGCAACGGAUUACCAUUGGGGGCAGUGGUGACAACACCAGAAAUAGCGAGUGUGAUGGCU